UACGGAAGGGGCAAGCGUUGUUCGGAAUCAUUGGGCGUAAGGGCGCGUAGGUGGUUCUGUAUGUCUACCGUGAAAGCGUACGGCUCAACCGUAUUUUGUCGGUGGAAACUGCAGGACUUGAGGCUGGGAGGGGCUGGUGGAAUUCCCUGUGUAGCGGUGAAAUGCGUAGAGAUGGGGGAGAACACUCGUGGCGAAGGCGGCCAGCUAGACCAGUUCUGACACUGAGGCGCGACAGCGUGGGGAGCAAACAGG
rnacentral:rRNA from 1 species